rnacentral:lncRNA from 1 species
GGAUAUAAAUUUAUUUAUAUAGUUGCUAUCAUAUCAUCCACAUCCAUCAAAAGAAAGCAUCUAUGAAUAUGAUAUCUAGAGCGUAUUCAUUUCUCCCAAAAGAGAAAAAAAAGAAAGAUAGAGGCUAUUACGCGUUCACUCUGUCAGCAUCACCUGGUCAGCAUCGCCAAGCAUCAAAUUCUAAUUUUAUGUGAUAAAUCAAUUUAUCAUAAAAUAUAAUUUAAUAUUUAAAUUUUUUAUUAAAAUAAAAUAUUUUUUUUGUUAACAUAUAAUUUUAUAAUAGAUAAUCAAAUUAUACUAU